rnacentral:rRNA from 1 species
GAUGAACGCUGGCUACAGGCUUAACACAUGCAAGUCGAGGGGAAACGACAUCGAAAGCUUGCUUUUGAUGGGCGUCGACCGGCGCACGGGUGAGUAACGCGUAUCCAACCUGCCCACCACUUGGGGAUAACCUUGCGAAAGUAAGACUAAUACCCACUGCUAUCCCACGAAGACAUCUGAAUGUGAUUAAAGAUUUAUCGGUGAUGGAUGGUGAUGCGUCUGAUUAGCUUGUUGGCGUGGUAACUGCCCACCAAGGCAACGAUCAGUAGGGGUUCUGAGAGGAAGGUCCCCCACAUUGGAACUGAGACACGGUCCAAACACCUACGGGAGGCAGCAGUGAGGAAUAUUGGGCAAUGGGCGAGAGCCUGAACCAGCCAAGUAGCGUGCAGGAAGACGGCCCUAUGGGUUGUAAACUGCUUUUAUAAGGGAAUAAAGUGGGUCACGUGUGACUUUUUGCAUGUACCUUAUGAAUAAGGACCGGCUAAUUCCGUG